ensembl:lncRNA
AUGGCGAGAGCCCUGAAAUACAGCUGGACAGCAGCGGUCUACAUCACUGCCCCUUCUGCAGAUACAAAGGGUCAAAAUGUGAUAUCGACCAUCACAUUAAAUGCCAUGCCUCGGUUAAAUACAGAGGUACAUUUUCUUAUUUUUUUAUUAUUAUUAUUUAUAUUAUUAUUGUUAUUAUAUAUUUGUAUGUAUGUAAUGUAUGCUGUUUAUUCACCAAGGUCUGCAGAGGAGCUUUCAGGAAGCAGGAAGAGAAGACGGGAGGAAAAAAAGCUACAGGAUAAAGAUCUCUGCACAAAAAGGGCUAGAGUUGCUCCAACAGCAUCCAGCUCUGAAGGAUCAGGUCAUGUAUAGACUGUUAAUCCAGGUGAAUCCAUGUAGGCCUACACAUAUUCAGAGUGUUUGUGAGAUAUGAUUGAUUCUAUUAGGCUUCUACUUCCAAAUUAAGUUGUACACAUAUCUCCAUCAAUAUACAAGUUAUAGCCUACUCCAUGGCUGAUCUAUUGCGCAUACUAGGGCCUACUUUUAUUAUUCCAUUGUAUUGGCCUACUCAACAUUACAGACAACAAUCUGUUUUAUUUCCAGACAAAACUGAAGACCAGGAACUGGAACCUGGGAACCUAGUAUAUAAUAUGUGUGUAAUGUUGGAGGUUGUUUGUAUAGCCAGAUGAAAUAGUCUGAUGACUAGUUGAAUAGUGUUUUUUAUCACUGAAAACUCAUCAGUAGUAGUAGCCUUUGUUUGCAUACCAUUUUGUGGUUUUGGGAGGGUAGGGUGUCAAGUACAAACACAAAUAUUUUUUCUUUCUUCUUCAAGGAAGAUUAUGUUGUCCUGAAGGACACAAUUCAGGCAGCAGCAUGGUGCCACUUACAGUCCUUCAAGGACAGCGUUUCUCUCCCAGAGGUCAUUGGGAUGGAAGGUUGGGAGCAGAUGGCAGCAUCAACACAGCGCAAAUCCCAUGACGGCGGGGAUGAGGAAGAAACGUGGAAACCAUUCCAAUUCUCAUUCAGAUUACAUACUGACUAUGAACUGUUCUGUGUGGAGAUGAUGGACAGGAGAAACCUGAAGGUGUUUGCCUCUUUUGAGUCAAACACCUCUCCCCCUCCCCGUCCCCCUCCCCGUGACGCCUGCGCCACACGACUCCAAUGUAGUCUGAUGAUGCAGCAUAAUGGCGGCGCUUGGCAGCUAUGGCGGCGGUGACGGCGAUGUCGGGCGACAGAGCGUGAAGCAAGAGUGGCAUCCACCUCACUGAGGAAGGCGUCAGUGUGUUCCCCCUUUGUUGUUUGACUUUGUUUGUUCUACUCUUUAUUGAUUUAUCUUUUAUGUUAAUAGUUUACAAUCUAUUUUUUGUAGUUGUUAUUUUUUAAUUGUUUUGUUGAAUAAAAAGACAGUUGUUAGUGCUCCUGUGAUUGGUGUAACUUAAUGUGCUUCACACAUGUAGCUUUUCAUUAUGUCUAUUGAGGUACAUUUUUUGCCCUUAGAUGUGGUCACUUCGUUAUUCCUCACAUUACAUCUGUUAAGGUCAUACCUUUGGGUCCCAGUCUUCAUAGUUCCCCAAAUCUUAUUUUGGCUCUUACUGGGCCUGUAACUCACAGACAGACGGGUACAGGAGUUCGGACACGUUGCAUUGUUUACAGGCAAGGGUGGAUUACCGCACGGGCACACCGGGCACAUGUCCAGGGGCCCAAGGGCGGCCCUAAGCCAGAGCUUCUGUGUGAAGUCGCUGUUAGUAACUUUUAAUGUUGCAUUGUCAAAGCAACAUUCAGUAGAGAAAUACAAAAAUUCAAGCGAAAACGGCAAUAGUAGGGCUAUUAAUACUGAGUAAAAAAAAAAAAAGAUCACUAGGGGGCACU